rnacentral:rRNA from 1 species
UACGGAGGGUGCAAGCGUUGUCCGGAAUCACUGGGCUUAAAGGGCGCGUAGGCGGGCAAGCAAGUCCGGGGUGAAAGCUUUCGGCUCAACCGGAAAAGGGCCUUGGAUACUGCUUGUCUGGAGGGAGGUAGGGGCCCGUGGAACUUCCGGUGGAGCGGUGAAAUGCGUUGAUAUCGGAAGGAACGCCGGUGGCGAAAGCGACGGGCUGGAUCUCUACUGACGCUGAGGCGCGAAAGCCAGGGGAGCAAACGGG